CUUCGCCGAGCCCAGCCACAAGGGCUGGUCCUCCGCCCUGCCCUGCCCGUAGGUGGCCAGCAGCGCCUGCGCCUC
rnacentral:antisense_RNA from 2 species